UACAGAGGUCUCAAGCGUUGUUCGGAUUCAUUGGGCGUAAAGGGUGCGUAGGUGGCGCCGUAAGUCGGGUGUGAAAUUUCGGAGCUUAACUCCGAAACUGCAUUCGAUACUGCCGUGCUUGAGGACUGGAGAGGAGACUGGAAUUUACGGUGUAGCAGUGAAAUGCGUAGAGAUCGUAAGGAAGACCAGUGGCGAAGGCGGGUCUCUGGACAGUUACUGACGCUGAGGCACGAAGGCCAGGGGGAGCAAAACGGGG
rnacentral:rRNA from 1 species